rnacentral:rRNA from 1 species
GACGAACGCUGGCGGCGUGCCUAAUACAUGCAAGUAGAACGCACAGUCUAUACCGUAGCUUGCUACACCAUAGACUGUGAGUUGCGAACGGGUGAGUAACGCGUAGCUAACCUGCCUGGUAGCGGGGGAUAACUAUUGGAAACGAUAGCUAAUACCGCAUAAUAUUAAUUAUUCCAUGAUAAUUCAUUGAAAGGUGCAAUUGCACCGCUACCAGCUGGACCUGCGUUGCAUUAGCUAGUAGGUGAGGGAACGGCUCACCUAGGCGAAGAUACAUAGCCGACCCGGGAGGGUGAACCGCCACCACGGGACUGGGACAAGGGCCAGACCUCUACGGGAGGCAGCAGUAGGGAAACUUUGGCAAUGGAGGAAAGUCUGACCGAGCAACGCCGGGUGGGUGAAGAAGGUUCUCGGAUCGGAAAGCUCUGUUUUAAGGGAAGAACGGGUGGGAGGGUGGAAAGUUCACACUGUGACGGUACCUAACCAGAAAGGGACGGCUAACUACGUG